GGACAGGUAGAUUUGCGUGUCAUCUGCAUAGAAAUGAUAUUAAAAGCCAAAGGAGCUAAUGAGUUUACCAAGGGAGGUAGUAUAGAUGGAGAACAGUAGGGGACCAAGAACAGAACCUUGGGGGACACCAACAGAGAGGAGUUGGGGAGAAGAAGCAGAGCCAGAGAAAGAAACACUGAAAGAGCGCUGGGAGAGGUAGGAGGAGCACCAGGAGAGAGC